UACGGAGGGUGCAAGCGUUAUCCGGAUUCACUGGGUUUAAAGGGUGCGUAGGCGGAUUGGUAAGUCCGUGGUGAAAUCUCUAAGCUUAACUUGGAAACUGCCAUGGAUACUAUUAGUCUUGAAUAUUGUGGAGGUUAGCGGAAUAUGUCAUGCAGCGGUGAAAUGCAUAGAUAUGACAUAGAACACCAAUUGCGAAGGCAGCUGGCUACACAAAUAUUGACGCUGAUGCACGAAAGCGUGGGGAUCAAACGGG
rnacentral:rRNA from 1 species